CUGUUAUCUAUAGACAAAACAAAAUGUGUUAGUACCCACGAGGAGUCGUUCAACACCCACCGACUCUCUCGUCUUUAAUCCACCUUGGUGCAGUCCCGUUGCCAAAAUCGCGUUGGAUUGACGCCACCUCACCUAGAGGCCUUGAUCCAAUCCUCUGCUGCCAAAGGUCGUCCAAGCCAGAUUCGAUUAUCAGAGUCCUUGAGUCUAGCCCGAUGCGGUCGGCUCUUCCAUCCCAACCUAGCAACAACCAUUGGGAACUCGCUCAACCACCGAGUUCUCAUAGGGAAACAAGACCUGAUGUCCAAACUACGAGGCUUCGAAAUGGGUUGGAUGCUUGUCGAGCAAGACCGAUCGACCUUAGAUAGCUGUAUAGAGGCAGCGAGAAUACAACUUCGUUUAAGACCCGCGCCGAACACCAAAGAUAGAACAUGGAAAACUUAGGCAUCAAAUGAACAAAGAACAUGAAAUUUUCAUCAAAUUAGACUUAAAUAUUGCUUGAACGAAGGCUUUAAAGAACCGACAUAUUAAUCACGUCUAGAAAAGUUAUAAAAAUAAUAAUAAUAAAAGAAUAAAAAUAAGCGUCACUACAUCACAAUGUAAAAUACACCGCUCAUAAAGCAUAAAGCAGAAUUCUCAGAAAAAUAAAGAAAGAAACAGACACCUCUUACAUUACUCGUUCUGAUUGAGAAGGAAGAAAAUCAAGAAAGAAACACACACCGAAAACUCAAGCUUGCAUCAAUGGCGACGGCGCUUCUGUCUGAGAUUACCGCCCUCAUUCCGAUCAAGCUCGACUUCUCUCGACCUUAUCAGGUGUGGAGGUACGCGAUGACGGCCGUUCUUGAGUCCAUGAACUUGAUGGGGUAUGUUGAUUCGACAACUGAUCUAAAGGGGCAUUCGUCCGAUUCAGAAGACGUGCGUAUGUGGUGUUCUGAUGGAGAGCUCAGUCAUUGGCAUGAGGCUGAAGACAGGGCGGUAAUGGCUGUGAUAAACGCGACGCUUGCCCCUUCAGUUCUUGCUUGAGUCAUCAGGUGCGUGUCGGCCCGAAGCCUUUGGCUUGAGCUUGAGGAAAUCUUCACAAAGAUGGAACCUUUUCAUGUCAAGUGUCUUUACAACAAGCUGAGCAACCUGGUUUAUAAACGUGGGCAGACGGUGGAGGGUUUUGUUGGAGAAGUUGAGAGUGUCCGGUUCGAUAUGGUUUCUAGAGAUGCUGCAAUUCCAGAGGCUGACAUGGUGGAUUUUGUUCUGAGUCGCUUUCCAUUUCCCAUCUCUAAUGGAGAGGAAUUCCAGCGUCCUCAAAGCCUGAGACAAUUAUAUACCUUGCUUCUGCAAGAGACAAUUGUCCAAGACGGAAGGACCAGAGCUGAGACCCAGGCUGUUCUGUUCAGCCAUUAUAUCUGAUUCAGGAAGGAGUACUUUGCUGUUCUAGAAUGUCAGUGAGUAGAGAGCAUUAUGUUUUUGAAUUGAAAAAGUGGUGUUCUUUAUGUUCAAAGGAUCAAUUCAAAGGAUCAACAGGUGACGUCCAAUUCAAAGGAUCAUUCUUUACAUUCUUCAUUUCAUUUUGGAGUAGAUGAUGAGACUUAAGCAAUUUAAUGUUAAGCUGUAGGCAGUGUAGAUUCUGUUAAUUGAUAGUCCAGUUGAGUUAGUCAGUGGGGUGUUUCCUGUUAAUAUGAGUUGAUGAUUCUGAUUAGGGAUUGUUAAUUCCGAGUGCAGUUACUCAAUCUCUUAAACUUUCAUGAUAUAAUGUGGUGUUUCCUGUUAAUAUGAAAUUCAUGACUCUUGGAAUUGAUGUCAUAGUAAACCCCUGUUUUGAUGACAAUACAGCUAAAUGUGUUAGCUUGAUGAUUUUGAAAGUGCCAUUUUUUUCA